rnacentral:rRNA from 1 species
UACAGAGGGUGCGAGCGUUAAUCGGAGUUACUGGGCGUAAAGGGCGCGUAGGCGGUUUGAUGUGUGUGAUGUGAAAGCCCUGGGCUUAACCUGGGAAGUGCAUCGCGAACUAUUGAACUGGAGUCUGGGAGAGGGUGGCGGAAUUUCCGGUGUAGCGGUGAAAUGCGUAGAGAUCGGAAGGAACGUCGAUGGCGAAGGCAGCCACCUGGCCUAAGACUGACGCUGAGGCGCGAAAGCGUGGGGAGCGAACAGG